GAUUAUAGUUCUGUUUUCCUCUCCUCUGCUCUCUCCCUUGUUCAAAAGGAAGAUAAGUAAUGUUGUUCCAGCAGCAACCAGCCCAAAUGGCAAAAUGUUCACUGGAUGAUUCAAGCCACCCAUUCUUCUUGGAGAAAGAGCCACAGCUCAGCGGCAAAGCAUCAGAAGGUCCCAAGUUCAGUCCCCAGCAUCUCCAGGCCCGAAUCCAAAUGGGGAGAACAGAGUGCCUGGUUCCAAUAAAGACGC